rnacentral:tRNA from 1 species
GGAGAGAUGGCUGAGUGGUCGAAGGCGGCCGCCUCGAAAGCGGUUAUCUUGAUCAAAGUCGGGAUCGUGGGUUCAAAUCCCACUCUCUCCACCA